rnacentral:rRNA from 1 species
AGGCAGCAGUGGGGAAUAUUGCACAAUCGGGGGGAAACCCUGAUGCAGCCAUGCCGCGUGUGUGAAGAAGGCCUUCGGGGUUGUAAAGCACUUUCAGUAGGGAGGAAGGUAGUGUAGUUAACUACCUGCAUUAUUUGACGUUACCUACAGAAGAAGCACCGGCUAACUCCGUGCCAGCAGCCGCGGUAAUACGGGAGGGUGCGAGCGUUAAUACGGAAUUACUGGGCGUAAAGCGCAUGCAGGCGGCCUGUUAAGUCAGAUGUGAAAGGCCCGGGGCUUUAACCGUACGGUAAUUGCAUUUAGAAACUGGCAGGCUAGAGUCUUGUAGAGGGGGGUAGGAAUUUCAGGUGUAGCGGUGAAAUGCGUAGAGAUCUGAAGGAAUACCAGUGGCGAAGGCGGCCCCCUGGACAAAGACUGACGCUCAGAUGCGAAAGCGUGGGGAGCAAACAGGAUUAGAUACCCUGGUAG